rnacentral:rRNA from 1 species
UACGUAGGUGUCAAGCGUUGUCCGGAUUUAUUGGGCGUAAAGCGCCCGCAGGCGGCUUGCCAAGUUCGAUGUGAAAUCUCCCGGCUCAACUGGGAGGGUGCAUCGAAAACUGGCAGGCUUGAGGCAGGGAGAGGGAUGUGGAAUUCCAGGUGUAGUGGUGAAAUGCGUAGAUAUCAGGAAGAACACCGGUGGCGAAAGCGCUCUGCUAGGCCGCAACUGACACUGAGGGACGAAAGCGAGGGGAGCGAAUGGG